rnacentral:rRNA from 1 species
CCUACGGGAGGCAGCAGUGGGGAAUAUUGCACAAUGGGGGAAACCCUGAUGCAGCGACGCCGCGUGAGUGAAGAAGUAAUUCGUUAUGUAAAGCUCUAUCAGCAGGGAAGAAAAUGACGGUACCUGAGUAAGAAGCCCCGGCUAACUACGUGCCAGCAGCCGCGGUAAUACGUAGGAGGCAAGCGUUAUCCGGAUUUACUGGGUGUAAAGGGUGCGUAGACGGCAGUGCAAGUCUGGAGUGAAAGGCGGGGGCUCAACCCACGGACUGCUCUGGAAACUGUAGGGCUGGAGUGCAGGAGAGGUAAGUGGAAUUCAUGGUGUAGCGGUGAAAUGCGUAGAGAUUAGGCAGAACACCGAUGGCGAAGGCAGGUUACUGGACUGUAACUGACGUUGAGGCUCGAAAGCGUGGGGAGCAAACAGGAUUAGAUACCCCAGUAGUC